rnacentral:rRNA from 1 species
UACGUAGGAGGCGAGCGUUGUCCGGAAUUACUGGGUGUAAAGCGCGCGUAGGUGGGAGGCCAAGUCUGUGGUGAAAGCGCCCGGCUCAACUGGGCAGAGUCCAUGGAAACUGGUCACCUGGAGGACGGUAGAGGCGAGUGGAAUUCCUGGUGUAGCGGUGAAAUGCGCAGAUAUCAGGAAGAACACCCGUGGCUAAGGCGGUUCUCUAGUACGGUACUGACGCUGAGACGCGAAAGCGUGGGGAGCGAACAGG